UGUGAUAUUUAAACUGAUAGUGUGAGAGCAAAAAAAAAAAGAUCUAAGCUUUUUUUUGUGUGUGUGCUCAUCAUGAGCUUCUGGCCAAGAGGAACAAUAGCUUUUGAUGUUUCAGUGUCCUGCUGUGCAGGUCAGGCUUUAGAUCAGUGCAGCUGAGACUAAGUUUAGGCUGAAUCGUAUGGUUUAAAAAAUAUGUGUUUUUCUUUUUUAGUAUCCAACCCUCUUGAUCCCUUUCUUUGAUCUAACUCAGUGGUCCUCAACACUUUUAGACUCAAGGCUCCCCUUGGAAAACUCCAGCUUUUAGUUUUCACUUGUUUUUUGGCUACAGAAAAAUAAUGAGUUCGCAGAAUGUUUUUAACACUAUGGAUUUCUAUUUGGCACCUCUGGGUUUAUCUUGUGAACCACGUUUGCACACCUAACAGUGCCAAUAUUGCCUGAAAGGAUCUCAAUGCAGCCCAGAGUGCUGCGACCCUCUGGUUGAGAAUCACCUGUGUACAUGGCUAGAAGGAUUCAGGCAUCCUUCACUUAUUUUCAAAACAGGAACAAACAUGAGCCUAAGUGGUUCCUUUGGAACCUGGACAUAGGCAGUGGUCUUUGCUUUCCCAGUGAAUUCAGCCUAUGUGCCCUCCCACCUUUCCAUUCCAGCUACCAACUGGAUGUUGUUUAAGGACAUUUAAAAAAAUCUUCAGUUAAAUGAGUUUCCCAUUACCUGCCACUAUUCAUUAUACUUGGAGUAAAAUCACUCCACCAAGACAUUAAAAAUGAGUCACAGCAGCCACCCAGCUGGGAAUGUUGCCAUUAGGCAGUCAUGCUUUGAAGCCAAUGCCUCUGCAAGGAUAGAAUAGCCCCUACUGAUGUGCAAACUGUGCUGCAGCUUCUGUGUGCAGAAAUCACUGGCAGAAUUGUGCCAUUUGUAGCUUGCUAAGCAGCAGCAGCACCUUUGAAGCAACCACAAUUAGGAAUUUUGUUUUAAAACUGAACAGCUUGAGGAAGAGAGAAGACUGCGUCUCCGGAUUUGGAUUUGGAUCAGGUUUUUAACCAUUGUGGAAGACCCUGCGGGGUCUUCAGGUUUUACAGAAAACUUGACUGGGCAAAUGAAAGCAGCCUUCAAACCCUGCGCCUGCAUGUGGGCUGUGUUUUUUGCCUGUUUCUAAGGGUAAUUGAGAACAGAGCAAAAGAGAACAGAAUCUGUGUGGAGUCAACUGCACACAUGAAACAGAGCCAGUUUUUACACUGGCUGUUUUCUAUCUUUCCCAUGAAAAACAGCAUGGGGAUGGAAGGGGAGGGCACAAACACAUUUCCCAAUUGUUUUUCCUAUGGGCACGUUUGUAGCAUAGAGGGAGGCUUUGUAACUUCAUCUUUUAAUUUACUGCAUCUCUGUGGUAGAGAAGUGCCUUCAAAAAUCACAGAGCACUUGUUUCUACAGAUACGCACCCACUUUACUUGAGGACUGAUAAGAAAGGCAUCUCAUUGCAAUUCCAUUUUGAAUACCAGUGCUAAGAGUAAAUUAGCUCCUCAAAGUAGAUUUUUUUAGAGUUGUGGCUCAAGUCCCAUCUGUAAAUAAUAGAGGUUUGGUCUCAUCCCUUGAGCAAACUAGGUAUGAAUAUAUCUGCUUGUCCUCUCAGUUCGCAUCUUGUUCUACUCCUAUUGAGGAAGGUAGCCAGUCAAGUAGGUCUCCCUCUUGUCUUCUCCCAUCAUGCCUCAUCAUUUCUUUCAAUUGCCAGUUCACUGACAUUGCUUGUUUGAAGUUUUCUUCCCAUUGGCUGUGAGCACUGUUCCCCUGCUUGGUACUCACAGGAAUGAAGUCUGUCUCACUCAUUUAAUCCAGGGGUAAAAACACAUUUUCCCUUCUUCCAUUCUUUACCAGUCCCGUAAGAAACUCUGGCUUGGAACUUUAUUGUGUUGUCUGUUCUCCUGGGUACCAUCUGGUGAGAAUAAUCACCUGCUUGGAGAUAUCACAGCAGUAAUAGCAGAGGUUAGACGUGGAAGAGACUUGUUAGAUCAUUAAAUCCAUCCUCCUGCCAGGGUGAAGAACAUCCCUUACUGGUGAUGAAAUUCAUGUUCAUCUUCUGAUCUGAGUCAAAGGGCUCUCUUUAAAAGGAACAGGUAUUUUUGAUAAAAUCAGCAUAGCAAACUAUUACAUCUGAGAAGAGUGCACAUACAGAGAUACCUUUCUGUGUUGUCUUCUGUCCAGGGCUUGAGAGGGCAAAGGCGAUUUGUAGCUUUGCACUGCCUGGAUUCUCAAGGCUGCUAGGAGCUCGACUCUGACUUAGGCUGUCUAGGAAUGGCUUCCAAGGGAUCGUUCUACUAUGUAGUAAUCUGCGUAGGGAAGAAAGGCUCUGGCCACAGUUCUUGUUCCCUUCAUCUGAGAGCAGCAUGGGAUUUAUUUUGUUGCAGCUGCAAUCCUAGCUGCUUAAACUUAGUCCACACCUACUUCCUCUGCUACCAGAACUUCUGGGGGCAGGCAGCAGCUACCUCCACCAACCCAUAUGAGCAUGUGCAUCUCCAUGGGCUCCUAUAGCAGCUCUGUUCAGCUCUCAGCAACUGUGGACCUUAGGAAGGCACCUGCUGCUGAAGGGACUGUGCCACUUCACAGAAAGGUACACCAAAAAAUCUACAUGCACCUUCUGCCUGCUGUUGGAUGGCAGCAGAAGCCCAAGUCUGCUUGGCAGUGGUAAUUUAACUGUGCCCGCAGUUCUGCCCGCUCAGAGGAACUUCAAUUCAUAGAUGUACACCGCUGUCUGGUUCUGGAUUGCUCUCCCUUGGACCAGCGUAAAUGAGGAGUAAUUCCACUGAAGCCAACAGGGUCUUUCAGUGUAAAACUAAUCUGAGUUGAGAAUCAGGACAAGCCAAUGCAAAAGUAAUCAUUUUAAAUUUCCCUCCACUAUCAGGAAACCUGGCAUAGGCACUGACUGGUUUUUGCCAGUGGGCACUUUCUGUUGUUGUUGUUUUAAUUCCCAUGUGAGCCCCACACAUGCCCAGAAGAGGCAGUGUGGUAAGUCAGCCUGGCUCACCUGAUGUGACUUGUGGGUGUUGAGCACCCGCUAUUUUUUUUUCGGUGGGUGCUUGAGCCCUAGAGCACCCAUAGAGUCGGUGCCAAUGGAUCCGGGAGAAAACACAAUUACUAAUGCAAGUCUAAUUUAGACCAAAGCAUCAGAGUUGAGGAUAUUAUCUCCUCCCCCAGUGCUCUAGGUACCCACCAGCAUUGCUUUUUGAAGGAUUUGUGUUUUUACAGUACAUCCAACUUAUGUGGUGCUAUUGCAGUACUUCCAUCAUAAGACAGCAGUGCACCACAAAUUAUAUAUAAUACUAUUAUCAUUAUUAUUAUUAUUAUUAUUACCACCACACGUAUUUGAAAUAUCUAGUCUUAACAUGUAGUUAAAUCCUUCCAGGUUUCAGUAAUUUUAUAAUGAAGAACAUAUUACAGUAGUGAGUUAAAUAAGUGGCUCAGCAUUAGUUUAGUGAAUUUCCUCUAGAAAUCACAAAUCCCACAUUCCUUGGAAAAUUAAGGAUUGCUUUCUUUUAAUUAUGUCUGAACUGAGGAGGCAUGAAAGUCUGUGAUAUGCCCUGCUUGCCCCCGAAAGAACCCCAUUUACUCUGUAUUUUUAUUGCUGCAGUUUUCCCAAACGUUGCACAGGCGGAAUUUCUCAUCUGACAAAUGAAACAGAUAACAUUUAUUGAGCAAAACUUAGAUUGCCCGGGUGUACAUUUGCUGUUUCAUGCAGUCAAUGCCUCUCCUGUAUUUAGCAAUAUGAAUACUCUCCAGAGACCAACUCUGGGGAAAGCUCAUUUUUUUUUAGGUGGAGUAGGUGACAGAAAACAUGAUUUAGUAAUAUCAUGUAAAUACUCAGGAUUAUUUUUUAAAUAAGCAAACAUUUAAAUUUUAAUUUUGAAGGGUGCUAUGGAACAUUGCACAAGCAAGUGUCAUUUUCUUGGAUUAUUAGUUAACUAACUCUGGUAAGUCAUGACAAAACAUAAGCAAUCCCUCUUGUUUAAUAGAGCUUAGCUGCUCCUUUUUGCUAGCUAUGAAAUGUUCAGAGCAGCUUUCAGUUCAAAGCCCAGAACUGACAAAGUGGUGUUGAGCUCUGGGGAGAUUUUGAUUACCCAAGGUUUUAUUCUGACUACAUUCUUCUUUUACUUGUAUGCUCCAUAAUCCUGCCUCACACUGUAAAACAACUUAAGUCUCAUAGUUGACCAGCAGUCUAAGGAGGAGCAUCACAAGCAGAGGAAAUACUGUGGAUAAGACAGAAACCAGAGCUCUGGGUGGUAAUGGGAAGAGAGUUGUACAAGCAUCAUUUCCUUGGACUUCACAGAGAAGACCACAUCAGAAAGGCUGCAAGCAUAUUGUUCUGCUGGGAAUAGCUCAUUAGGCCACCGUUAUUUCUAAGUGCUUUCUGCAGCUUGUACUGCUUCUGCAGCUGAAUGAGCAAUAAAAUAUCUCAUGGUCUCUUUUGUACAGUAGCUUGUGGAAGAUCUGAAGCAGUGGAUGUACUGAGGGCCUGCUUCCACCUCCCUUACUCACAUGGAUGCCUUGUUAUGUGUGCUGAUGCUAAAAGGGAUUUUGCGCAUACUCAAUAGUACAAGUGGCAGAAUCAGCACCCCCCUGGUUAUAGUCACAAGAGAGACUUCUGUGCGGCAAUACCUAUCUUCAUUUCCACCGAAUGAGAUUCAUAUCCCUGAGUGGCCUUCGCUUUAGCCAACAAGAUGAGUGGAUAGCUGCUUAAAUGAGUCAGUCAGGAAGUCUGUGGAAUGGAGCAGGAUGUGCACCUCGCAUAUGGUUGAUGACUGUAUGUAAAUUUCCAGACAAUCCAUAAAAAAAACAGAGUAAAAACAUCUGUCUGUCCAUAAAAAAAUGGAGCUGUCCAUAAAAACCUGGGGAACAGUGA